UACGAAGGGGGCUAGCGUUGCUCGGAAUCACUGGGCGUAAAGGGCGCGUAGGCGGCCAUUCAAGUCAGGGGUGAAAGCCUGUGGCUCAACCACAGAAUUGCCUUUGAUACUGUUGGCUAGAGACCGGAAGAGGUAAGUGGAACUGCGAGUGUAGAGGUGAAAUUCGUAGAUAUUCGCAAGAACACCAGUGGCGAAGGCGGCUACUGGUCCGG
rnacentral:rRNA from 1 species